GUGAGGAAAAAAAGGAAAUAGAUGUAUGAUGUUUCAGUACUAAAAACUUCUGCAAUAAAACUGGCCUUUUUCAGAAAGCAAAUGUGUAGAAUCAAAGUAGGUUAAGACACACUUGACAUAAAAUUUGUAACAUUUAUUUAGGCAAAAAAAAAGUUCCAAACCAAAAAUCUGUACACACAACAUUAAUACUUAAGUCAUGUCCUGAUUUAAAAUAAAGCAUGAUUCAUGUACAAAAUACUCCCCUUCAUCUGGCCAUAGUGAAAACAGUGCCGUCAGUCCAGAUAGUUGAGAGUCUUUGAAAUGUACAUACAUUAUACUUUCCAAUGAAUUUUUUAUAUCCUAAAAUCAGUUAAACUUGUCCAUCAGAAUUUAAGUAAAAGAUAGCUUUUCUAACAUUCACAGUCAGUGACAAUUUAUCAGUGGGAAAUCUACAAAAGUCAGGGAUUUUCAAAAUUUUAUUGUUGCGGAUUAUCUAAGAAUAUAAAUCUUGACAUAACAUCCUCCCAUUUUUAAAAGAAAAAAUGCAAUAGCCGGGCAUUGUGGCGGGCACCUGUAGUCCCAACUGCUCCAGAGGCUGAGGCAAGAGGAUCGCCUAAGCUCAGGAGUUGGAGGUUGCUUUGAGAUAUGACGUCACGGCACUCUACCAAGGGCAAUAAAGUGAGACUCUGUCUCUCUAAAAAAAAAAUAAAUAAAUACAGGAAAAAAUGCUUUUAACAAUUUCCUGCUUUGGCUCAGUGCUUGUAGCACAGUGGUUACAGGGCCAGCCACAUACACCAAGGCUGGUGGGUUCAAACACAGCCCAGGCCAACUAAACAACAAUUGACAACUGCAACAAAAAAUAGCUGGGCGUUGUGGCGGGCGCCUGUAGUCCCAGCUACUUGGGAGGCUGAGGCAAGAGAAUCCCUUAAGCCCGAGAGUUUGAGGUUGCUGUGAGCUGUGACAACACAGCACUCUACCGAGGGCAACAUAGAGACUCUGUCUCAAAAAAAUUUUUUUUUCUUGUUUUUCUUAAAGUAUCUCAGUUUUCAUUAGCUAAGUAGUUUCUUCCAAUCUGAUUAAAACUAUGUUAAAAGAACCCAAUUUGAACAGUUUUCUCAAAAUCCAAAUUAAGCAUAUACUAUUAAUAAACUAGAUUUACAAUUUUCCAUAAAAUAAUUUUGAUUAAUUUAGAUUUCUAAAACAUUCUUAAUAGCCAUUCUGUGUGGCUUAUUAGCUGUAAAGCUAAGCUGUACUAUCCAAAAGAGCUUUACUUCAUUCAGAAAAUGAGAAACAGCAGUGGUCUUUGCAUAUUUUACCCAAAAAAGGGAAAAAUAGGCAGAGAAAAGCUCUUUCUGAGGUUACCAGUUAACACACUAGGUUAAGAUUUAGAAACCAAAAGAACUCACAAUUAGAUGUGUACCAUUUCAUGCAAAUCUAUGAAAUACUAAAUAAGAUGAAGCAAUGUCUCAUUUAAAGCAUGAUGAGAAAAUUUUCCUACCAUAGUGUUAUUUUCAUCACUGGACAACAGAUGGUUUUAUAUCUCUAAAGUUUAUAUCUCUAAAUUAGAGAUACAAAUUUUAUAUCUCUAAAAACAGUUUAUGAGUGUAGACUGAAAAUUUAAAAUGUGUCAAUAAUGUAGUGAAUGGUAAAGACUAAACAUCCCUUAUAUACAAAAAUUAUUUGGAACUGCCACAAUGGAUUUGAGAGGAAAAUCAAAAGUUUGCAAACCUCUCUGGAAGCUGUCUCACACCACUAUUCUUAAGCCUUAGCAGUAUAAAGUCCUCAAAUAAGUAACAUAUAGAUAAAACUGGAAGGGCCCACAUUAGCUGAAGUAUGAUACUGUUGCCUAUACCUUCAGUUUAAUAAUACUGUCAAUACCACAAAAGCUGUACAAUAACCAAUGUAAACAGAUCAUUAGAGGGCCUCCUGCCCUCUACGGUGGGUUCCACAAUAUAUAAAAUGGUUAAGUUUGUUUUCCCUGCUACCUCUUUUCAACCUUGGGUAUUGCUGCACAUUGUUCUAUGGGGCGGGGGUUGGGGAGAGCGCAGUUAAUGCAUUUUAAAAUUAGUAAGCCAAAUAUUUGGUUGAUUAAUCUAUAUUAGCACAUAAAAUAAGUUUACAUUAAAAUGUGCUCCACAGGGAAAAGAAGAUGGCUCAAUGCUACCUUAACAAAUGGCAUAAUGAAAAACAGCUAAAUUAAAAUAAAUAGGGAGAAAACAGGCUAACACAAAAGGUCCCAUUUGGAAGAGCAACUUCCUAGAAGUGGAUAUAUAGAAUUGUUUUAAACACGAAUGUUUGAAUCUUGGGAAGUUUGCAAAUAAAAGAUAAUCAUGAAAGCAAACUCAUAUAUGGCAGCUUUAUUCACCUGCACCUCGAGUAAUCCACUUGAAUAAUACUAAAUGCCGUGCCCAGCUAGGAGUGAGGAUCAACAAUAAUUAAGGUCAACUCCUAGAACUGUGGGUCUGAUAUGUUUAUUAAAGAUCCUGGACUAAUUAAGAUCAGUAGCCACUGAGUCCUUAGCCAGAGGGUAAACUAACCCCUUGUUACAACUUGAUAAACUGUUUCUUUUCAACUGCAAAAAGAAAAAAAUAAUUUUUUUUAGAGUAUAAAGAACACAGCAAAACUUACUUGAUGUAAAUAUGAUGUCUUAAUUAUAUUUGCUCUAAUUUAUUGUUUUACUCAAUGAUACCAAAAUGUAUCAUUAUACUUUAAAAAGUCUAAUUUCAUUUCCUUUUUAUUUUUGUUUUUAUACAGAAAUUAAGUUUAUUAUUUUUUCUUCUUUAAAAAAAAAAGAAAAAGAAAAAACCUCAUUGAAGAGAAGCUCCUCCCUCUUCCCCUAAAGGUGGGGGACUGUGAAAGAUAGCUGGGGAAUCGAGUACAAGGGUUCAUUUCCUUUUAAAAAAAAAAAUUCAUUUACUUUUUUUUGAGACAAAGUCUGACUCUGUUGCCUGGCUACAGUGCAGUGGCAUGAUGAUAGCUCACUGCAAACUCAAACUCCUGGACUCAAGUGACCUUCCUGCCUCAGCUUUCCAAGUAUCUGGGACUACAAACAGGUCACCAUGUCCCUGACUAAUUUUUCUAUUUUUUUGUAAAAACAGGAUCUCACUCUUGCUCAGGCUGGACUCAAACUCCUAACCUCAAGCAAUCCUCCUGUCUUGGUCUUCCAAAGCGGUAGGAUUGCAGGUAUGAGCCACCGUGUGUGGCAUAAUUUCUCUGAAGUAGAUCUAAAAUUUUUUUUUUCUUGAGACAGAGUUACCCUGUGUAAAGUGCAAUGGCAUCACAGCUCAUAGCAACUCUUGGGUUUGAGCAAUGCUCUUGCCUCAGCCUCCCAAGUAGCUAGGGUUACAGGUGCCCACCAUGACACUCAGCUAAUUUUUCUAUUUUUAGUAGAGAUGGGGUCUCACUCUUGCACAGGCUGCUCUUGAGCUCUUGUGGACUGAUCUAGUGAUGAUUUACAAUAUCUGAGCAGUCCAAUGAUUGGAGCAAUAAUGAGUGGUUCAACCCUAAUCUAAAUUAUGCUUGUAACAGCACCUCUAUGCCAGUGAAAGGUAACCCUUGAAGGCACAAGAACUGCUACAUUCUAGUUUACAAUUGCAAAAGGCAGGCCUCCUAGAUUCUAACUAGAGAAACUGGCCAGUUAUGCCUCAUAAUUUCAAUAAAUACAUCUAGUAUAUUUCAGCCAGAUUUAAGACUUUCCAGACAAUUCUGUGCCUUAAUUAUAUACAUAAUUUUUGAGAAUUAUCCCAACCACAAAGGCACUAAAUUUUUUAUAUAUUUGGGAUGUGAUAAGUGAUUUCCUUUUUUAAGACUCAGAAAUAUCUGGUCACUACUGAUGCUUAAAGCAGUAAAUUUAAAUUUGAUCUUAAAUUUUCUGAGGCUUCACCUAUCAAGAAGUGAAUCUGAGGGCGGCGCCUGUGGCUCAAGGAGUAGGGCGCCGGUCCCAUAUGCCAGAGGUGGCGGGUUCAAACCUAGCCCCGGCCAAAAUCCAAAAAAAAAAAAAAGAAGUGAAUCUGAGUAAAUAAGGGAUUUACUGUUUUCUGUACAUUUUUAGCCAUUUCUGAAAAUAAUUUGUAAAGACAAAAACCUAGUCUUAGCCUAUAAGGAAUAUGUACUUUCGUCUUUAACAGUAUAAAACAGAAACUUGAAGCCAAACUUCUCAAAUAGGCUUUCCCUUACCUACACUAGAUAAAAGACAUGGAAAUGGUAAACAAACCUAUCAACUUUCAAGCUUCUGCAGGCCAUUUAUUUCAUGAAUUUAGCCUUAGACAUCAAAAUUCACAAGAAGGGCAAAAAGAAACUUAAAAGUUUUAAAAUAUUUUUCUCCAGUUGCGCUUUGUGGUGGUAGUGUCGGGGGUAGGGUGGGGCGGGCUGCAGCGCCAGAGCACAAGCUUGAAAAUAACUGGGGCCGCCUGCCUGCACUGUGGGUGGCUCUUUUAACCCCAGCAACACUGGGGGCUGUGGGUGGGCAGAAAAAAAAAAAAAAAGGAUUUUUCUAUUUCCUUAAUCUAUGAAAAGUUAUCUUAUACAAAUUCCCAAGCCAAAAAAAAAUUCCCAAGCAUUAGCCCACAAUUUUUUUUUUUUUUUUAAGAGACAGAGUCUCAUUUUGUUGCCCUGGAUAGAGUGCUGUAGUGUCACAGCUCACAGCAACCUCCAGCUCUUGGGCUUAGGUGAUUCUCUUGCCUCAGCCUCCUGAGUAGCUGGGACUACAGGCACCCGCCACAAUGCCCGGCUAUUUUUUGUUGCAGUUUGGCCGGAGCAGGGUUUGAACCCACUACCCUCAGUAUAUGGGCUGGCACCCUACUCACUGAGCCAUAGGUGCCACCCUUUAAGGUUUUUAAUGGUUCUAAAUACCUGUUUUCUUUUAGUUUAACUCAGUUUUCACCCCUAUGGAGUAACUCCAAAAAUUUCAAGUCUGAUUACUGUGAUAGUGGUAUGAAACGUGUGUCAAAGAAUGUUAUCAGUGUGGUAGUAAACUAGCUCC